GUCUGGUUCCGGUUUUCCCCUGGGCACUCUGAAUACAUGUCCCGAGAAGGUUCCUGUGGACAGACGGGCGCUGCUUGAUUGAGAUCGCUGUCAUUAUAUUCCCAAGGACUGGGGACAUCCAGCAGGGAGGCUUGACACCUGGUGGUGGGUAUUUGUGUCUCUGUUCC